ACAGAGGGUGCAAGCGUUGCUCGGAUUUACUGGGCGUAAAGCGUGCGCAGACGGUUUGGUAAGUGGGACGUGAAAGCCUGGGGCUCAACCCCAGAAUUGCGUUCCAGACUGCCCGACUCGAGUAUGAGAGAGGAAAGUGGAAUUCCUGGUGUAGAGGUGAAAUUCGUAGAUAUCAGGAGGAACACCAGCGGCGAAGGCGGCUUUCUGGCUCAUUACUGACGUUCAGGCACGAAAGCGUGGGGAGCAAACAGGAUUAGAUACCCUGGUAGUCCACGCCGUAAACGAUGCAUACUAGCUGUUGGCGGUAUAAACUCCGUCGGUAGCGUAGCUAACGCGUUAAGUAUGCCGCCUGGGGAGUACGGCCGCAAGGUUG
rnacentral:rRNA from 1 species